rnacentral:rRNA from 1 species
AUACGGAGGGUCCGAGCGUUAUCCGGAAUCAUUGGGUUUAAAGGGUCCGUGGCGGGAAUCUAAGUCAGUGGUGAAAUCUUGCAGCUCAACUGUAAAAUUGCCAUUGAUACUGGAUUUCUUGAAUUAGUGUGAAGUGGUUAGAAUGUGUAGUGUAGCGGUGAAAUGCAUAGAUAUUACACAGAAUACCAAUUGCGAAGGCAGAUCACUAACACUAUAUUGACGCUAAGGGACGAAAGCGUGGGGAGCGAACAGGAUUAGAUACCCCGGUAGUCC